AUUGAACGCUGGCGGCAGGCCUAACACAUGCAAGUCGAACGAGUGGCGGACGGGUGAGUAAUGUCUGGGGAACUGCCCGAUAGAGGGGGAUAACUACUGGAAACGGUGGCUAAUACCGCAUACCAUCGGAUGUACCCAUAUGGGAUUAGCUAGUUGGUGGGGUAACGGCUCACCUAGGCGACGAUCUCUAGCUGGUCUGAGAGGAUGACCAGCCACACUGGAACUGAGACACGGCCCAGACUCCUACGGGAGGCAGCAGUGGGGAAUAUUGCACAAUGGGCGCAAGCCUGAUGCAGCCAUGCCGCGUGUAUGAAGAAGGCCUUAGGGUUGUAAAGUACUUUCAGCGGGGAGGCGUUACCCGCAGAAGAAGCACCGGCUAACUCCGUGCCAGCAGCCGCGGUAAUUC
rnacentral:rRNA from 1 species